rnacentral:rRNA from 1 species
AUUCCCCUAGUAACUGCGAGUGAAGCGGGAAAAGCUCAAAUUUAAAAUCUGGUGGUCUUUGGCCAUCCGAGUUGUAAUUUAGAGAAGCGUCUUCCGCGCUGGACCGUGCACAAGUCUCCUGGAAUGGAGCGUCAUAGAGGGUGAGAAUCCCGUCUUUGGCACGGACACACCAGGGCUUUUGUGAUGCGCUCUCGAAGAGUCGAGUUGUUUGGGAAUGCAGCUCAAAAUGGGUGGUGAACUCCAUCUAAAGCUAAAUAUUGGCGAGAGACCGAUAGCGAACAAGUACCGUGAGGGAAAGAUGAAAAGCACUUUGGAAAGAGAGUGAAACAGUACGUGAAAUUGUUGAAAGGGAAACGCUUGAAGUCAGUCGCGUCGACCGAGACUCAGCCUCGCCUUGGCUUGGUGUACUUCUCGGCUGACGGGUCAGCAUCAAUUUUGCCCCUUGGAUAAUGGUGAGGGAAAUGUGACACCUUUACGGUGUGUUAUAGUCCCUCGUCGCAUGCAAGGGUUGGGAUUGAGGAACUCAGCACGCGCCUUCGGGUGUCGGGGCUUUUUGCCCACGAUACGUGCUUAGGAUGUUGGCGUAAUGGCUUUAAACGACCCGUCUUGAAACACGGACCAAGGAGUCUAACAUGCCUGCGAGUGUUCGGGUGGAAAACCCGUGCGCGCAAUGAAAGUGAAAGUUGGGACCUCUGUCGUGGAGGGCACCGACGCCCGGACCAGACCUUCUGUGACGGCUCUGCGGUAAAGCAUGUAUGUUAGGACCCGAAAGAUGGUGAACUAUGCCUGAAUAGGGUGAAGCCAGAGGAAACUCUGGUGGAGGCUCGUAGCGAUUCUGACGUGCAAAUCGAUCGUCAAAUUUGGGUAUAGGGGCGAAAGAC